rnacentral:lncRNA from 1 species
GGCAGUGGGGUCAGAGGGCAGUGCGUGGGCUGAGACGUUUCCGGGGGUCCUCUGACCGGGGAUGGAGCAGCUACUGCGUCUUUAUAGGUGGAGGAACAUUGCUUUAUUCAAACAGGCUUGAGUGACAACUUGAGGACAAGGACACUUUGCCAAGAUUUUACGCAGCGGCUGGCAGGGCCAGAGAGGCAGCAUGGUGUGGCAGGAGAAUGAGGACCUGCGCAAGCAAUUGGUUGAAGCCUCAGAGUUAUUGAAAUCCCAGGCCAAAGAACUCAAAGAUGCCCAUCAGCAGCAAAAGCUGGCCCUGCAGGACUUCUUGGAGCUCUGUGAGCUGGUAGCAGAGCUCUGCUCCCAGAAGCAGAAGGUGUGGGACAAGGAGGGGGAGAUGGAGGUGGCCAUGCAGAAAGUCAACACGAUGUGGCAGGAGAGCUGAAGAUCCAAGAAGCUCAGAAAGAGGAAGCUAUUUAUAUGGUUCAGUGAUGGUAUUGAUUGGACUUUUUAAAAUGUUUCAUUAUUACACUUUAAGUUCUGGGGUACUUUGUAUGACCUUAAUAAAACAUCUUUGAGGCCGGGCGCGGUGGCUCAUGCCUGUAAUCCCAGCACUUUGGGAGGCUGAGGCGGGCGGAUCAUGAGGUCAGGAAAUCAAGACCAUCCUGGCUAACACGGUGAAACCCCGUCUCUACUAAAAAUACAAAAAAAAUUAGCUGGGCCUGGUGGUGGGCGCC